ACCAACUAAACGGAAGGAAUAUCACAAAAAUAACAAAACGUGGAAACUUAAAAUUAUAAAAUGUAUAUUUAUUCAACAAAAUAAAAUUCAUUGAUCCUUAAUCCAAAUGUCACCGAACAUAGCAAUAUUUCAUAUUACAAGACGUUUUAACAUCAACUUAGGUGCUACAUUAGUAAGUAGUAAUUCUAUUAUGACAAUAUCCUUGGCUCGAACAUACUAGGUGUGACCAACAACCAGUGGCACAGCUGCACCAUAAGAUCAAAACACAUACAUGAAUUAGGUCAGUUUUUUAUUUAUUUAUGAUAAUACAAGUAAGAGGAACAAAUAGUAAAACAAAUACAAAUUAUCAUCAUAAACCACAUAGCAGUAAUAAAACUAAUAAAAAAACUUGUCAAUAAGAGCAUUUGCGUUAGACUUAAUAGAGAAUUAUGGUUAAGAGUAAAAAAGUAAUCAUUAUAAUCAACAAAGAAAAUUAAAGGAUUAUUAAACUUAACUGCGAGCGCAUACACAUUCAUUUUCAAAACACUUCAUAAAGUAAUGAAUGGAACAUGGAAAAUAUAGACAAUUAGCGUCAGAAUCGCAGGUUCUUGUAAUCUCUUUUGGUGCAACGGUGGGAGGAACAUGCCUUCUUCUUCUUCCUGAAACAAAAAAUAAGAAUAAAUAUUACUAAAAGAAAUGAAGUAUUUGUAUAUAAUUAAAAGAAAAUAUGAGAAUGAGUUUACCACCAACUUCGACUACAACAAGAAAUAUGGAAAUAAAAAGAAUUAUAGUAUAAAAAUAUUUGAGAAUUUCAGCCAUUUUUGCACCUAUGCAUGUAACAAACGAAAACUUAUUUGAUCACUUCAUAUAGUAAAAUACCUUAUGCUAUAUUUGCUUUAAUUGAAUAUUUUUUUCAUAUUUUUUUAACAGAAACCCUUUAUUAAAAUUAGAAUAACUAUUGUUAAAAAAAUAUAAAUAUCAUUAUUAAAUGUCUCUAAAGAACAUUGAUAUCUUGUUUGUCCCUAUAACAUAUGUAACUCAUCACUUGACCUUGGAACCAAACUCACCUCAAAUAAUUGUUAUUUUAUUUUUUGUUUAGCAAAGUUUCAUUUUAUAUUUUACUUCUUAUCUAGCCUCUUAUAAUUGAAAUAGGAAAACCUAAAUUGUAUUAUGUUGUUCUUUGGGAAACUGAACUCAUAUUCAUAGAUUUUCUAUUCAAAUUGUAUUGAUAAGUAAAAUGUGGCUCGAAGGAAAGACUCAAAUUCAUGUGUCCGAUAAGAU
rnacentral:lncRNA from 1 species